UGGACUUUAGACACAGACAUCAUAGGACUAGGGAGAAGAUGAGUCCAUUACCACGCGAACAAGUUUUAACAGUUUGGUUUCUCCACAGUACAAAAUUGGUCAAGAACCGUAGAUCAGAAAUCCUAAGGCCACAGUCCAUCUUCAGUUAUCUUGUUUUGAUAUAAACGGAGAGAUACAGAAGCAAGACGAAAAUGAGAGAAAACGGAGAGAGCCUUGUUUUCCUUUCAUAUCCAAAUCCACUAUAGCCGCUAAGCGUACAAGGAGAGGUCGAGAUACAGGAAUUUUGAUAUAGAUAAAAGAAUUCUUCACUCAAAAAAUCCAGUCUUUGUUCUAACUUAUCAUCUGUGACAAAAUUUUCAUUUUUCCCGAAAAUUCCUUUCUCUAGAAGAAACGCUCUCAUCGCAAGGUAAGUUGUGGUCCUUACCGUGAAAAUUCUUUGUUUUUUUCUUUGGUUGUCGGUAUUCAAUUGGUAAUUCCUUCAUCCUCUUGAUUUACGGGGUACUUGAUGAUAGACUUGCUCUACAAUUCUUUGUACCAAGAAUAGAUCUUGCGGUAAUUCUACUGAUCUGGUGUUAUUGUUGAAGAAAAUUGAAACUGGAGUCACAAUUUUGCGUUCUUCUUUUUGAUAGUUUGUUUAUUAUUCAGAAGAUAUGGAGAAGGAAGAGAAGUGUAACCAGAGAAUGUUGAAGCCGCCGGCAGAAACAGAAUUUUUCUUGCAGUGGGGUAACAGAAAGAGGCUAAGAUGUGUUAGAGUCAGAGGGACAAACCUAGCAACACAAGCCUCUUCCGACCACCCUUCUUCAUCCAGAAUUAGUCACAAAAUAUCCUCUAAGUUUCUCAAGCUUUCCAACAAAUCUGCCGUCUUUCCUCAAUCCACCAGUCGUUUCACAAGGUAAUUAUGAUUUUCAUUUUCAUUUUUUCCCCCACUAGAACACAGGGUGGAAUUUUAGGUGGGCUGGUGUUGUUGCAGGAAUUGUGAAACGGCAGCUUGGGAGAAC
rnacentral:lncRNA from 1 species